UACAGAGGCCACAAGCGUUAGACGGAAUCACUGGCUUAAAGCGUGUGUAGGCGGGAUGGUAAGUACCUUGUGAAAUCCCACAGCUUAACUGUGGAAAUGCUUGGUAUACUGCCGUUCUUGAGUCACCUAGGGGCAGCUGGAACAGAUGGUGGAGCGGUGAAAUGCAUAGAUAUCAUCUGGAACGCCAAUGGUGCAGACAAGCUGCUGGGGGUGUACUGGACGCUGAGGCACGAAAGCCAGGGGAGCAAACGGG
rnacentral:rRNA from 1 species